UACGAAGGGGGCUAGCGUUGUUCGGAAUUACUGGGCGUAAAGCGCGCGUAGGCGGUGAUCUUUGUCAGAGGUGAAAGCCCGGGGCUCAACCCCGGAAUUGCCUUUGAAACGGGAUCGCUUGAGUCCGAGAGAGGAUGGCGGAAUUCCUAGUGUAGAGGUGAAAUUCGUAGAUAUUAGGAAGAACACCGGUGGCGAAGGCGGCCAUCUGGCUCGGUACUGACGCUCAGGCGCGAAAGCGUGGGGAGCAAACAGG
rnacentral:rRNA from 1 species